rnacentral:rRNA from 1 species
CGCAGCCGCGGUAAUUCCAGCUCCAAUAGCGUAUAUUAAAGUUGUUGCAGUUAAAAAGCUCGUAGUUGAAUUUCGGGGUUUAUCCGUUGGUCGGGCUUUUGGGUCUGUACUGGCGUGAUGGAUUCCUACCUUCUGAAUAACCAGCAUGUCAUUAAUUUGGUGCGUUGGGGAAGCAGGACUGUUACCUUGAAAAAAUUAGAGUGCUUAAAGCAGGCUAUUGCCUGAAUACAUUAGCAUGGAAUAAUGAAAUAGGACGCAUGGUUCUAUUUUGUUGGUUUCUAGGAUCACCGUAAUGAUUAAUAGGGAUAGUUGGGGGCAUUAGUAUUCAAUUGUCAGAGGUGAAAUUCUUGGAUUUAUUGAAGACUAACUUCUGCGAAAGCAUUUGCCAAGGAUGUUUUCAUUAAUCAAGAACGAAAGUUAGGGGAUCGAAGACGAUCAGAUACCGUCGUAGUCUUAACCAUAAACUAUGCCGACUAGGGAUCGGACGAUGUUAAUUUUUAAUGACUCGUUCGGCGCCUUA